rnacentral:rRNA from 1 species
UUCGGCUUAGAGUUUGAUCCUGGCUCAGAUUGAACGCUGGCGGCAUGCCUUACACAUGCAAGUCGAACGGCAGCGCGGGGCAACCCGGCGGCGAGUGGCGAACGGGUGAGUAAUAUAUCGGAACGUACCCUGGAGUGGGGGAUAACGUAGCGAAAGUUACGCUAAUACCGCAUACGAUCUAAGGAUGAAAGUGGGGGAUCGCAAGACCUCAUGCUCCUGGAGCGGCCGAUAUCUGAUUAGCUAGUUGGUGGGGUAAAGGCCUACCAAGGCAUCGAUCAGUAGCUGGUCUGAGAGGACGACCAGCCACACUGGAACUGAGACACGGUCCAGACUCCUACGGGAGGCAGCAGUGGGGAAUUUUGGACAAUGGGCGCAAGCCUGAUCCAGCAAUGCCGCGUGAGUGAAGAAGGCCUUCGGGUUGUAAAGCUCUUUUGUCAGGGAAG